AUUUUCUUAGUCUUCCCAGCACUCAAUUAACCUUUAUGAUUUUUUAGAAUCGGAACAGCCAAGCAAGCAAAUAGUUCAAUUUGUGCAGAGAGCAUCACAAAAAAGGGUUUGCUAAUCGUGCCUCGUCCUUGCCCGAAUUCCUACCUCUCCAGGUACAAGCAAUUCUAAAGAUUAUCCAAUAGUUUUUGCAAUUUUGCCAGUGAUGGUUAAAUCAUCAUCAUCAUAAUAGUUAUAGGUAUUGAAUCCUUUUUCUAAUUAAUCAUAUCUAACACACUUUUCUCAUCUUCUCAAGAAGAGUGGUUGGUGGUUGGUAAUCGACAUGGAAGUAACGGCAAUCAAUCAUCGUUGUCAAUUGAAUUUCUGGUAUGGAAGAGGUGAAGUGACGUCUUUUAGCCGAUACUUUUACUUAUUCAACUCUUAUAUGCAUGUAUGUUCAUUCUCACUCUUUAGUCAUAAUUCAUAACAGCCCUCAAUUUCUGCAUAUCAGUGACUUUGAGCUUUCCCAAAUCGUUCAAUUGCUGCUUCAAAUUUAGAAUUUUUUUUCAUUAUUUGAUGGGGUGGCAUAAUUUAGGACCAGUUCCGACUACUUUAAAAUGUUUGAAGUAAAUUAUCUAUUUUGACAAUUUUCUAGUUUAUUUCACCUUCUUUAAUUUGCAUCAGCAUUAGUGUUUUUUUCUGGUGACGUUUUUCGAAGUUGCCUACUCAGCCUCAAAGCAAUUCUUAUAAGUACUGUUACAUCCGUGAAGCUUGUGGCAGCGAAGUAAUGUUUUAACCCUUUUUGUUUGUGCUAGGUUUCUGCAGGUUUAGUGUGUGAUGAUUAUUACUCUUUUAAGUCUGUGCGGUGGGAGAAGCCUUGUAUGAUGUAGAGGAAAGAGUGACAGAAAUAGCAGCGAUGAGCAUAAGGGUCAUAGCUGGUCUCAUUCACACUUGUCAUCUUAUUUCUCUCAACAAAAAUGCUCAAAGACAACGGGUACACUCUCAAAACAGUUCCACUGACACACUCAAUUAUAUAUAAGACAUCAGCUAGCUUCUUAUCCUCUUUAAUCUGAGAUUCUUUCUAAUCAAGGUUUUAAAUUGCAGCAACAAUGAGUUCACGGUGAGUCCAAAAACCUUGAGGCUAUAGAUCGGUUUUUGAAACCAUGUUUCUAGUUGGUCGAUCAUCGUUUCAGAAGUGUAGUGUAGUCCCAUUGAAUUUCGUCUUGCUUUAUCUCCUAAUUAUGAAUAAAUUUAGUUGUCUUUCAAUGACAUGUGCUUGCUAUAGUAUCAUUUCUUUAAAUUUGCACAAAUAUGACAAUCUUCCUGUGCAUUCUGAUGCCAUAUUCCUAUUUCAAUAAUUCUACUUUACAGAUCUUCUGCAAGAGUAACCAAAACAGGGUUUAUUCUGUCAACUUUGUGUAUUGGUAGUAUCGUACAUUCAAAACCAUCGGUGAUUCCCCUCCUCUCUUUUCCUCCCCCCUCCCUGGGUAGACAAUUAUAUUCUGGCUUCUUCCAAUGAAUUAUUUUGGUUACUUUGUACUUUUGCAAGGCAUUGAGGAUGGUUAGGCUCUAACCAUUUCUUGCACUUGCACAUGCCAAGUUUGGCUCCUUGAAACUUGAUCAUACUGUGACAGUUAAUUUUUUAAACUAUAAACUAAUUUACUCAUGUUUAUUUAACAGAGUGACCUGUAUUUGGUGCUAAAUGUUAUUUGUUCACAGUCUGUUACUUCAUUUAACGUGAUGCAAUUAUGCAG
rnacentral:lncRNA from 1 species